rnacentral:rRNA from 2 species
CUGUAAGCCGAUGAAGGUGUGUUGAGAAGUAUGCUGGAGGUCUCAGGAGUGCGUAUGCUGACGUGAGUAACGACACCACGGGUGAAAAACCCGUUCGCCGAAAGACCAAGGGUUCCAGUCCAACGUUAAUCGGGGCUGGGUGAGUCGACCCCUAAGGCGAGGCCGAAAGGCGUAGUCGAUGGGAAAAUGGUUAAUAUUCCAUUACUUCUGUGUAAUGCGAUGAGAGGACGGAGAAGGCUAAAUCAGCCUGGCGUUGGUUGUCCAGGUGAAAGGAUGUAGGCAUGUAUCUUAGGCAAAUCCGGGGUACUCUAUG